AACCCCUGUCAGCCUGCCGGGGGACGCGGUGCCCGCCCUCCGGCAUCCGGGAAACAGCGUCCCAGCCGGCGCCUGCGCAGGUGCCACACUUCCUGGUCCUCUCUGGCUGCUUCUGAGUGCCUUGGCUCUGGCCGGGGCGCUGCAACGGGCUCAGCCUUCUAGGGGUGGCGGGUGAAGGCCUACACCUGCCCCAGGACGGCCAGGUCCACCAGCACCUGCAACAGACGGAGAACUGAAGGAGCAUCUUGAAGCUGUGGCUGUCUUGAAGGUGUCGCCGCUUGUCCUCACGAGCACCAUUUUGAUUCUCGUGCCCUGUGUGCAUGGGUGGCCAGCGUUGCUGGUAGGGCUCCUGCACGCUCAGAGUGGCCUUGGCCAGGAAGUCCGGGGUUUCCGCAGGCAGAGUGGAUGAACAAGGUACUGAGAAGAUCACAUACUGCAUGUCCUCCUAAAACCUGGUCCUGGCAUAACCUUCUAAGCUGUUUUAUUCAGAUUACAAUAAAUCAUGCCAUUCACACAAGUUCUUACAGGGAUUUAAUUGCAUCUUUGAAAGGUUUGGCAGAUACAUCAAGCCAGUUCAUUAAUGCACAGAUGAUUCCUUCACAUUAAGAAAGACACGUUGGAGCACCAUAAAUGUCAAGGCAGUUAUUACACACAAAAAGCAUAAAAUGGCAACCAUCAAAAGGUGAGCCCUUAUUCAGUUGAGAUCAAAAAUAAAACUGCAGUAACUCCUUUGUGUAAUAA
rnacentral:lncRNA from 1 species